rnacentral:rRNA from 1 species
AGACAGAGAUGUGGAGCGAAACUCAAAAAGUAAGUCUCAGUUCGGAUUGAAGGCUGAAAUUCGCCUUCAUGAAGCCGGAAUUGCUAGUAAUGGCAGGUCAGCAUACUGCCGUGAAUACGUUCCCGGGCCUUGUACACACCGCCCGUCACACCAUGAGAGUUGGGAAUACCCGAAGCCUGUGAGCUAACGUUAAGAGGCAGCAGUCGAAGGUAGAAUCAAUGAUUGGGGUGAAGUCGUAACAAGGUAAC